GGCCUAGGCGGUUGGGUAAGUCAGGGGUGAAAUCUUCACGGCUCAACCGGGAAAUUGCCCUUGAUACUGCCUGACUCGAGUCCGGACGAGGGAAGCAGAAUUCCGUGUGUAGCGGUGAAAUGCGUAGAUAUACGGAGGAAUACCAGUGGCGAAGGCGGCUUCCUGGACCGGCACUGACGCUGAAGCCCGAAAGCGUGGGGAGCGAACG
rnacentral:rRNA from 1 species